rnacentral:rRNA from 1 species
UACGUAGGGUGCAAGCGUUAAUCGGAAUUACUGGGCGUAAAGCGUGCGCAGGCGGUUAUGUAAGACAGAUGUGAAAUCCCCGGGCUUAACCUGGGAACUGCACUUGUGACUGCAUGGCUGGAGUACGGCAGAGGGGGAUGGAAUUCCCGGUGUAGCGGUGAAAUGCGCAGAUAUCGGGAAGAACACCCGUGGCGAAGGCGGCUCUCUGGAACGCAACUGACGCUGAGACGCGAAAGCGUGGGGAGCAAACAGG